CCCAUUCUGUGAUCAGGACAGAACACAGACAUCUCACUAUGGAGUUUGUGCUUGGCUGGGUUUUCCUUGCUGCUGUUUUAAAAGGUGUCCAGUGUGAGGUGCAGCUGGUGGAGUCUGGGGGAGGCCUGGCGAAGCCUGGGGGCUCCCUGCGACCCUCCUGUGCAGCCUCUGGAUUUGACAUCAGUAAAUAUGCCAUGUACUGGGUCUGCCAGACUCCCGAGAAGCGGCUGGAGUGGGUUUCAUGGAUUACUAGUAGUGGAAGCACAAGCUAUGCAGACUCCGUGAAGGGCCGAUUCACCAUCUCCAGGGACAACGCCAAGAACACACUCUCUCUGCAGAUGAACGGCCUGAGGCCCGAGGACACGGCCAUGUACUUCUGUGUGAAACACACAGUGAGGAAACUUCAGUGUGAGCCCAGACACAAACCUCCUGGUAGAAGAGGAUCAACACUACCAGGGGGUGCACACUCUGCACAAUUCUGGUUUGUAUUCCAUGGAGCAGGCAUCGGUGUGGUGGUCAACUAG